GCGAAAGACUGGUUCUGAGACACAAUGCAAGGCUGUUCUGCAGGACCAGAUCAGCCUGAAGCUUAAAAGUGAGGAGGGACACAACUGUCACUGGCUGCAUCUCUGCCUGGAAUUCUCCUCCCCUUCCCGGGCUUACCUCACAGUGAUAACAUUCCACGUGGUAGUCUCGAUCCAUCGACACAACCCGGAUCGUCUCCUCAGAACCCUGGUGGGAAGACAUGGAGACACUUCAAACUAAGGUGGUGAGCCUCAUGUCGGAUAUGGUCUAUGCCCAAUUGGCCUACAUGGGAUCUACACCAGUGCCUGGCAUAGAAAGUCAGGGUACAAGCUGUAAUGGGCUGGCAGUUCAUCCAUCUACUCCCCAUCUAAAUCGGGAAAGAAGCAGCCAAAUAUCCUAGAAAGCCAACUAUCUAAACCUUGAGUAAGUAGGCGGCCAGCUAUCUAAAAUGAAGAUUGUUUGUGGGCAGAUGCUUAUCGGACACAGCCAAGUUCAACUGUGUGGGGAAGGCAAACUCUGGAUGACGAAAACUCACCCAAAACUGACUUAUAAAGAUAAUCGCCUUUUGGCGAUACA